rnacentral:rRNA from 1 species
UGGGGAAUANNNNNNNCAAUGGGGGGAACCCUGACGCAGCCAUGCCGCGUGAAUGAAGAAGGCCUUCGGGUUGUAAAGUUCUUUCGGUAUUGAGGAAGGUUGAUGUGUUAAUAGCACAUCAAAUUGACGUUAAAUACAGAAGAAGCACCGGCUAACUCCGUGCCAGCAGCCGCGGUAAUACGGAGGGUGCGAGCGUUAAUCGGAAUAACUGGGCGUAAAGGGCACGCAGGCGGUUAUUUAAGUGAGGUGUGAAAGCCCUGGGCUUAACCUGGGAAUUGCAUUUCAGACUGGGUAACUAGAGUACUUUAGGGAGGGGUAGAAUUCCACGUGUAGCGGUGAAAUGCGUAGAGAUGUGGAGGAAUACCGAAGGCGAAGGCAGCCCCUUGGGAAUGUACUGACGCUCAUGUGCGAAAGCGUGGGGAGCAAACAGGAUUAGAUACCCUGGUAGUCCACGCUGUAAACGCUGUCGAUUUGGGGGUUGGGGUUUAACUCUGGCGCCCGUAGCUAACGUGAUAAAUCGACCGCCUGGGGAGUACGGCCGCAAGGUUA